rnacentral:rRNA from 1 species
AGAGUUUGAUCCUGGCUCAGGACGAACGCUGGCGGCGUGCUUAACACAUGCAAGUCGAACGGAAAGGCCCUUCGGGGUACUCGAGUGGCGAACGGGUGAGUAACACGUGGGUGAUCUGCCCUGCACUUUGGGAUAAGCCUGGGAAACUGGGUCUAAUACCGAAUAUGACCAUGCACUUCCUGGUGUGUGGUGGAAAGCUUUUGCGGUGUGGGAUGGGCCCGCGGCCUAUCAGCUUGUUGGUGGGGUAAUGGCCUACCAAGGCGACGACGGGUAGCCGGCCUGAGAGGGUGACCGGCCACACUGGGACUGAGAUACGGCCCAGACUCCUACGGGAGGCAGCAGUGGGGAAUAUUGCACAAUGGGCGCAAGCCUGAUGCAGCGACGCCGCGUGAGGGAUGACGGCCUUCGGGUUGUAAACCUCUUUCAGCACAGACGAAGCGCAAGUGACGGUAUGUGCAGAAGAAGGACCGGCCAACUACGUGCCAGCAGCCGCGGUAAUACGUAGGGUCCGAGCGUUGUCCGGAAUUACUGGGCGUAAAGAGCUCGUAGGUGGUUUGUCGCGUUGUUCGUGAAAACUCACAGCUUAACUGUGGGCGUGCGGGCGAUACGGGCAGACUGGAGUACUGCAGGGGAGACUGGAAUUCCUGGUGUAGCGGUGGAAUGCGCAGAUAUCAGGAGGAACACCGGUGGCGAAGGCGGGUCUCUGGGCAGUAACUGACGCUGAGGAGCGAAAGAGUGGGGAGCGAACAGGAUUAGAUACCCCGGUAGUCCAA